UUCUAAGCCUUGGUGUCCCCUCUGUAGAAAGGGGUUAAUAUGAAGACCUGUCUUCAGGGCUAUUGGAAUAGCAUCGUGUAGAACGUGCUUACUCAUCGGUCACUGUUAUCGUUAGCACCGUACGUGUGAGUCUCCUCUAACCUAAACAUAAAACUCUGGUCUUUUUCCCUCACUGUGCCAGCCAAAGGGAAUGUACUCUUCACCACCCAUCAGUUUGGAGCUGCGGCUUCUUUUUGUCCAGGAGUCUGCUUGGUGCUUGCGGCUGAGUUCCUCCAACGUCCUUGUCAACACGGCCUCCUGACAGUGGUUCUCUCCAGAAACCAAGUGCACUGGCGUUCUGCUGUCUUUUUCUUAUUAACCAUGAAAUCAGAGAAUGUUUCAGCAGUUCAUAUCAUGUUGGUAUUUUGUCUUUAAAAGUGAUGCUUUUUUUUUUUUUUUUUUUGAGAUAGACUUUCGCUCUUGUUGCCCAGGCUGGAAUGCAAUGGGGUGAUCUCCGCUCACCGCAACCUCUGCCUCCCGGGUUCAAGUGAUUCUCCUGCCUCAGCCUCCCUAGUAGCUGGGAUUACAGGUGCAUGCCACAGUGCUCAUCUAAUUUUGUAUUUUUAGUAGAGAUUGGGUUUCUCCAUGUUGGCCAGGCUGGUCUCGAACUCCUGACCUCAGGUGACGCGCCUGCCCCGGCCUCCCAAAGUGCUGGGAUUACAAGCGUGAGCCCCCGCGCCCGGCCAGCGAUGCUUACUUUUAUUAGAACACGUUAGCUGGCAUCUGAGUGUCACAGGGAUGCAGCGUGACGGCCACAGCCCGGGUAGCUGGCGUCUGAGUGUCGCAGGGAUUUGGUGUAGCUGGCGUCUGAGUGUCGCAGGGAUGCGGUGUAGCUGGCGUCUGAGUGUCACAGGGAUGCGGUGUAGCUGGCGUCUGAGUGUCACAGGGAUGCGGUGUGACAGCCAUAGCCAGGGCAGCUGGCGUCCUGAGUGUGUUGCAGAGGAUCUGGGUAUGGCUGAAAGUACUGGAGUGUCACAGGGAUCUUGAGUGUAAGC
rnacentral:lncRNA from 1 species